CGAGAUCAGCCUCGGUCUCGUGGGCUCGGAGAUGUGUAUAAGAGACAGCCUUUAAAGAGUGCGUAAUAGCUCACUGGUCGAGUCGGUUUGCGCGGAAGAUUUAACGGGGCUAAACUAUAUACCGAAGCUGCGGAUCGCAAUUUAUUGCGAUGGUAGGAGAGCGUUCUGUAAGCCGUUGAAGGUGAACUGUGAGGUUUGCUGGAGGUAUCAGAAGUGCGAAUGCUGACAUGAGUAACGAUAAAGGGGGUGAAAAACCCCCUCGCCAGAAGUCCAAGGUUUCCUACGCAACGUUAAUCGGCGUAGGGUUAGUCGGCCCCUAAGGCGAGGCAGAAAUGCGUAGUCGAUGGGAAACGGGUUAAUAUUCCCGUACUUCAUAUAACUGCGAUGGGAAGACGGAGUAGGUUAGCUCAGCAAGGCGAUGGUUGUCCUUGUUCAAGCGUGUAGAAAUGGUUCUUAGGAAAAUCCGGGAACCUCUAUUUCAAGGCGUGAUAACGAGCCCUCUUUUGGGCGAAGUGAGUGAGACCAUGCUUCCAGGAAAAUCCUCUAAGCUUCAGGUUAUAUGAAACCGUACCCCAAACCGACACAGGUGGACGAGAUGAGAAUUCUAAGGCGCUUGAGAGAACUCGGGUGAAGGAACUAGGCAAAAUGACACCGUAACUUCGGGAGAAGGUGUGCUCUUGUUAUGUGAUAUCACUUGCUGAUUGAGCAAAGAAGAGCUGAAAAAACUAGGUGGCUGCGACUGUUUAUUAAAAACACAGCACUCUGCAAACACGUAAGUGGACGUAUAGGGUGUGACUCCUGCCCGGUGCUUGAAGGUUAAUUGAUGAGGUUAGCGCUUGCGCGAAGCUUUUGAUCGAAGCCCAAGUAAACGGCGGCCGUAACUAUAACGGUCCUAAGGUAGCGAAAUUCCUUGUCGGGUAAGUUCCGACCUGCACGAAUGGAGUAACGACGGCCACACUGUCUCCACCCGAGACUCAGUGAAAUUGAAAUUGCUGUUAAGAUGCAGUAUACCCGCGGCCAGACGGAAAGACCCCGUGCACCUUUACUACAGCUUUGCAUUGAACUCUGAUCCUACUUGUGUAGGAUAGGUGGGAGGCUUUGAAGCUUUAACGCUAGUUAGAGUGGAGCCACCCUUGAAAUACCACCCUGGUAUGGUUGGGGUUCUAACCUUGGUCCGUAAUCCGGAUCGGGGACAAUGCAUGGUGGGUAGUUUGACUGGGGCGGUCUCCUCCUAAAGAGUAACGGAGGAGCGCAAAGGUAUCCUCAGCACGGUCGGACAUCGUGCAAUGAGCGCAAAGGUAAAAGGAUGCUUGACUGCGAGACUGACACGUCGAGCAGGUAGGAAACUAGGUCUUAGUGAUCCGGUGGUUCUGAGUGGAAGGACCAUCGCUCAACGGAUAAAAGGUACGCCGGGGAUAACAGGCUGAUACCCCCCAAGAGUUCACAUCGACGGGGGUGUUUGGCACCUCGAUGUCGGCUCAUCACAUCCUGGGGCUGAAGCAGGUCCCAAGGGUAUGGCUGUUCGCCAUUUAAAGUGGUACGCGAGCUGGGUUUAGAACGUCGUGAGACAGUUCGGUCCCUAUCUGCCGUGGACGUUUGAGAUUUGAGAAGAGUUGCUCCUAGUACGAGAGGACCGGAGUGAACGAACCUCUGGUGUUCCGGUUGUCACGCCAGUGGCAUUGCCGGGUAGCUACGUUCGGACAGGAUAACCGCUGAAAGCAUCUAAGCGGGAAGCCCCCUUCAAGAUGAGAUCUCACAGGACUUUAAGUCCCUAAAGAGCCGUUCAAGACUAGGACGUUGAUAGGUUGGGUGUGUAAGCACGGUAACGUGUUGAGCUAACCAAUACUAAUUGCUCGUGAGGCUUGACC
rnacentral:rRNA from 1 species